GAAAUGGAAUUCUUGUUGGUUUAUGGGUUUUGAUGAUGUCUACCACUUCUUUCUUUAUGCUGAUUUUUGUUUCUGAGGUCUCUCUCCACAAUGAAGCAUCCACAUCAGAAAUAAUAUCUUCAAUAGGAGGCCUCAUGGACUUGGUUAUUUUGUUCAAUAGUGAUUUAAGCCUGAUGAUGAACACUUGGUGUUUGAAAAGCUUUGCACUAAUAAAUAGUAAAAACUGAGAAGCAAGAGUUAUUUCUUCCUAAUCUAACAAACUUCUCGCUAAAAGGUUCUUUUUACCUUUGACAUUAUGGCAUUCGAGCCUAAUGAACCUAAUUCAUUAUUCAACAGAUACCAAAGUCUAAAAACUAAGGUGAAGUUGAUACCUCUUGAUAUUAGUUUUCUUAAACAGUGUAGGGUACACAAUGUUUUCCCUAAGUGUGUGGUGUUUAACAGUAAAGUGAAAACUCCUUCCACAAAAAGGGCUCUAGAGAAAGCCAAAACCUAUUGGUUAAGCUCUGAGCUUCACAGCCUGUAUGCAAAAAGAUCCAGCAUAGAAGUGGAACUAUAUGCACUUCACAAAAAACUAAGCCAGACCAUACCAAAACUGCAGUGGGAUGAAAUGGAAAGAAAGAUGUUCAGAUCAAUUGAGGAGAAAAAGAGAAAGAAAAGAAAUUCACAAAACAAAAAGUUGAAAAAUCUGUUAAAAGAAAAAAGUAACCAUAGUGGUGUUAGCAAUGUUGUUAGUGUCAGUGGCAGUGACAGUAAUGGUGUUAAUGAGACUACUGUGUAUGUGAAAAACCUAACUGAUGUGGUGUUCUCCAAAGAAGAAUUGGAUCUUCUAAACAAGGGUCUAAAAUUCUCUUUACCACCCAUGAGGCCUCCUAUUGAAGAUAUUAUUUCUGAUGUGGAUGCUUCAUUGUGGAGAGAGACCUCAGAAACAAAAAUCAGCAUAAAGAAAGAAGUGGUAGACAUCAUCAAAACCCAUAAACCAACAAGAAUUCCAUUUCAUCCCCACAACAACACCAUCAAAAGCUUGAGACAGAAAGGUGUCUACUAUAUGAAAGCAGACAAGGGAAACACCGUAGUGAUAAUGAAGAAAGAUGAAUACUUGGAAAAGUGUGAAACCCUUCUUAAUGAAGGACCUUAUGAGAAGUUAAAAAGUGAUCCUGUGGAUAAAAUGGUGAAAGAAGUGAAAAGUUUGGUGAAAACUACUCCCUUCCUUAAUAACACUCCUUUUCCUUCCAAUCCUAAAGUUCCUAAAAUGUACUGUCUUCCCAAGAUCCAUAAACCUAACUAUCCUAUGAGACCAAUUGUGGCCAAUAUCAACUCUCCUUCCUAUAACAUUGCCAAAAAACUCCUUUGUAACCUCCAAAACCUUCCUUUUCCUGAAACUCUUCAAGUUAAAAAUAAUUAUGAACUUGCAGAAAAACUGCAAGGGAUUACUAUUAAUGACACAGACAGGCUCAUAUCUUUUGAUGUACAAAAUCUUUUCCCCAGUGUGCCUAUUCCUGAGACUUUAGAAAUGAUAGAAAACUGGCUAAAAGAACAAAAUAUCAACAAAAAAGAAAUAACCCAUUAUAUGAAUACUAUAAAAUUAUGCACUUCCCAAAACAUUUUCCAAAUAAAUGGAACUUACUACAAACAAACAGGAGGCACAGCUAUGGGCAACCCCUUAUCUCCCUUUUUGGCAAAUUUUUUCAUGAGCCACCUUGAGACAAAAUUCAAAAAGAACAAUAAAAACUUUCCCAAAGCAUGGUUUAGAUAUGUUGAUGACAUCCUGUGUAUCAUUCCUGAAGACUUCAACAUUGAGGAAUUCCUCAAUGCUUUAAAUAGUCUCUAUCCUACCAUCAAAUUCACUUAUGAGCUUGAACAACAAAACAAACUCCCUUUUCUGGACAUGUUAAUCAUUAGACAUUCUGACCAUCUUGAAUUUGAUAUCUAUAGAAAACCCACCCACACCAAUAACUACAUUCCUUCAGACUCUUUCCAGCCUUGGAACCAAAAAUUUGCUGCUUUCAACAGCAUGAUACACAGGUGUUUAAAUCUCCCCCUAAAUAAAAAUAACCAAAAUAAAGAAAUAAAAAACAUCAUGUCUAUUGCUUCCAACCUUGGCUACACAAAAACAUCUAUCCAAAAACUUAUAAGAAAACAUGAAAACAAAAAACUAAUCAGAGAUGCCACAACUUUUAUUGCUGAAAAAGAUGAUGUCAAAAGAGUUAGGAUCAGUUACUAUCCCCCUCUCACAAAUAAAAUGAAAACAGUCUUCAGAAAACACAACAUACAACCCAUUUUCACCAAUGAUAACAAAAUUAAAAACCUUCUUGGUAACACUAAAGACAAAGACAAACCUGAAGACUGUAGUGGCAUCUACAAAAUCAAAUGUAAAGAUUGCCAAGGAAUUUAUAUAGGUCAAACCAAAAGAAACAUCAAAAAGAGGUUCAAGGAACAUCUUUAUUAUGCUAAAUACAAAUAUGAAAAUAAGUCUGCUCUCUCAGAUCAUCUCAUUGCCACCAACCACACUACUUCCUUUGAAAACCUGAACCUCAUACAAAAAAUAGAUAAACCAUCUCAAUUAAACAUUAGGGAAGCAAUAGCCAUGAAGAAAAACAAAACAAAUUUACUAAAUAAUGACUUAAAACCCUUAGAAAAUAUCCUACUUUCUGUUAUUAAAACCAAACUUGAAGACAUGACUCCUACCACAUCCUCACCUACAACCACACCCUCUUCCACAUGACCACACCCUUGUACUGCCACACCCUUGUACUGUUAAACUACCACACCCUUGUACACUAGUAUAUAAGCUUGUAGACUUGGUUAUUUUGUUCAAUAGUGAUUUAAGCCUGAUGAUGAACACUUGGUGUUUGAAAAGCUUUGCACUAAUAAAUAGUAAAAACUGAA